rnacentral:rRNA from 1 species
AUCUGGCGGUCUUUGGCCGUCCGAGUUGUAGUCUGGAGAAGUGCUUUCCGCGCUGGACCGUGUAUAAGUCUCUUGGAACAGAGCGUCAUAGAGGGUGAGAAUCCCGUCUUUGACACGGACUACCAGUGCUUUGUGAUGCGCUCUCAAAGAGUCGAGUUGUUUGGGAAUGCAGCUCAAAAUGGGUGGUGAAUUCCAUCUAAAGCUAAAUAUUGGCGAGAGACCGAUAGCGAACAAGUANCCGUGAGGGAAAGAUGAAAAGCACUUUGGAAAGAGAGUUAAACAGUACGUGNAAAUUGCUGNAAAGGGAAACGCUUGAAGUCAGUCGCGUUAGCCGGAACUCAGCCUUGCUUUCGCUUGGUGCACUUUCCGGUUGACGGGCCAGCAUCGAUUUUGACCGUCGGAUAAGGGCUAGAGUAAUGUGGCACCUCCGGGUGUGUUAUAGACUCUGGUCGCACACGGCGGUUGGGAUCGAGGAACGCAGCGCGCCGUAAGGCAGGGGUUCGCCCACUUUCGCGCUUAGGAUGCUGGCAUAAUGGCUUUAAACGACCCGUCUUGAAACACGGACCAAGGAGUCUAACAUACCUGCGAGUGUUUGGGUGGAAAACCCGAGCGCGUAAUGAAAGUGAAAGUUGAGACCUCUGUCGUGGAGGGCAUCGACGCCCGGACCUGACGUUCUCUGACGGAUCCGCGGUAGAGCAUGUAUGUUGGGACCCGAAAGAUGGUGAACUAUGCCUGAAUAGGGUGAAGCCAGAGGAAACUCUGGUGGAGGCUCGUAGCGAUUCUGACGUGCAAAUCGAUCGUCAAA